GUUUUGGAGAAGGUACCAUGAGGUGCUGAAAAGAAGACGCAGAGGAAUGCUUCAGUCUCCAGAAAGGGACAGAUUAAACCUCAAGAUUAAAACGAGUUUCCUCAGCAGCAACAGGAAAGAAGCAAGCCCUGUCCCCUUAAAGGAAAGUUUAUGCUUUCAAUCUUGUGUUUCAAGUCAUUGGCCAUUAUUUGGCUAUAGAUGAUACUAUGUCUAAAUAUGACCAUAAUAUAGUUUGAAGAAAACAAAGCAAGGGACACGACUCUGGGUUUUUAGACCUUCUGACAUGCAGGACUCUUGCUCUAAAAUAUGUUUGGUGUUUAAAUUUCCUACACAUUUCCCUGGAACCUAUGAUACCAGGAAAAACGGAUCUCUGUGAAAUUCCGUUUUAGUGGCUUGCUAGAGACAAUCAUUUGCAAAUACUUGUACCCAGGAGCUUAUGCCAUGAUUAUGCCAUGCAGAGGAGUGCCAUGCUAUAGUCUUUUCUCAUGAUUACUCAAUAUGCUUUUAAAGAUACUAGAAUCAAAACACUAUCCAAAGGGAUACAGUUGAUCCUAAUCUUGAUUGUACCAGCUAAACAUUUGGAGAGGAUACAAUAUGGAUUCCCCUCCCAUACUGGCUAAUUCCCUUCUUACACGGGUCUUAUAUAUUAUGCUUAAGUGGUGACUUUGCUAUGAGAGGAGAACUAUUAUUCACCUUUCUUGUAACAGAUUACCUGACAAGAAGCAAUUUAAGGAUUUGAGAGAUUACCAUCUAUCCCGCAGAAAUGCAUGGCAGCAUGAAUGAGAAGCAGCUGGUUACUGUCCUUUGUCAUCCAGCACAGAGAGAUGGAGGGUGGUUCUCUGAUCAUUCAGUUUGGUUUCACUCUCAUAGCCACUCACUGACAUCUUGAAGCUUACGCGACAACAUCUUACUCAUUAAUGAUUUUUGUAGGUAGAGUGUAUACCAUGAAUUCAUGAGGAUCAGAGUCACAAGAAUCCACAUAAAACUUGAUAUGGUGAUACAUGUGUAUAAUCUCAGCACUUCUAUAGCAAGAUAGAAGAUAAAGGCAGAGUCCCUGGAAGCCCAUUGGCCAAUUAUCCUGGCAUCUGAAGUAUCAAAAAAAGAGAUUCUGUCUCAGAUAAGAAUGAAGAUCUGUGAGACAACAUGGCUGAAAAUGUUUAUGGUUCAAAAGUUCCCAAAUUUUCUUGAUGAGGCCACAGUAUCUACCAGCAGGCAAACCAGAAUGGAUUUUGUGUAACACUUCCUUCAAGCAUACAAUAAGCAGAACUUAAGCCAAAUUCCCAAGCUGUUAUGAAAUAGGAGAUGGAGAAGAUUCAUGUAUCUAUAAGGGAAGUACCCAAGAGGAAACACCAAAUCUAAGAGGCAAAAGGCCAUUCUUCCUAGUCUCAAGCAAUUCACUUGCACUUGCAGUAGAGUCGUAUUUAAGAACUGGACUGUUUAAACAACACCUGAUAUAGGAAAUGAAGGUUGCCACAUUUUCAUCCAUCUACAUGCCUUCAUCAUUUGUAUGGAUGAGCUGUCAUUCAAGGGAGGGAAAAUGCAUCUGAAGUAAUACUCUCAGCUGAUUACUGACUGAUUAAAGUGAAAGGAGACUCAGCUUUGGCCACUACACAGACCAGAUACGGCUGGCUUGCUGCCUCCCUGAACGACACACCUCACACAGCUGAGAAAGCCAAAGGGCAGAAACCAAAGAAGAUUAAAAUAAUGCAGAUUAACAACAUGCUGACUGCAGAAGACAUGAUGGAACUGGAGAAUCCAACAGAGCUCGCAAGGACUACGACCAACCAAAGAAUACACAUGGAGGGACCCAUGACUCCAGCUGCAUAUGUACCAGAGGAUGGCAUUAUCUCGCAUCA
rnacentral:sRNA from 1 species